CAGUCGCCGCGGUAAUACGGAGGGUGCAAGCGUUAAUCGGAAUUACUGGGCGUAAAGCGCACGCAGGCGGUCUGACAAGCCAGAUGUGAAAUCCCCGGGCUUAACCUGGGAACUGCAUUUGAAACUGUCAGGCUGGAGUCUUGUAGAGGGGGGUAGAAUUCCAGGUGUAGCGGUGAAAUGCGUAGAGAUCUGGAGGAAUACCGGUGGCGAAGGCGGCCCCCUGGACAAAGACUGACGCUCAGGUGCGAAAGCGUGGGGAGCAAACAGGAUUAGAUACCCCUGUAGUCCCUGUCUCUUAUAC
rnacentral:rRNA from 1 species